UACAGAGGGGGCAAGCGUUGUUCGGAAUUACUGGGUGUAAAGGGCGCGUAGGCGGCCUUCUAAGUCGAACGUGAAAUCCCCGGGCUCAACCCGGGAACUGCGUCCGAUACUGGAAGGCUUGAAUCCGGGAGAGGGAUGCGGAAUUCCAGGUGUAGCGGUGAAAUGCGUAGAUAUCUGGAGGAACACCGAUGGCGAAGGCAGGUCUCUGGGCAUUAACUGACGCUGAGGAGCGAAAGCAUGGGGAGCGAACAGG
rnacentral:rRNA from 1 species